AUUUUCAGAAUUAGCAUGGUCAGUCCAGCUCUUACCAGAUGCACAUUUUGAGAGAUAAUUUUCAGAGUAGUUCAAACAAUUAGGCAACACACUAAUUUACAAAGCAACACACGUGAGAUGUGCUUGUGUAGAUAAACAAUACCCCUACUGCUGCUAGCCUAGGCAAAUUUACUUUGAAGCAGCUCAAUAACAAGCAUGAGAGGGAUAGGGAUUUGGUGCACAUGGGCACCAGUGCUCACUCCACUUCUCCACUUCUAUUUCUCCAAAAAUUAUGGCGCUAAAUAUGUAGAUAGAUAUGUACAGGAGAAGUCUACGCAAAAAAGUUCGAUAAAAAAUACUUUAAAUUUUGAGAAAUAGAAAAUAAACAAGUUUCUGACAAAAAGAUAUACUAUUUUAAUACUAUU